GGACCCUUAGGAAACUAGGGGGUGCUUCCAUCUGGAAGAAUCUGGAGACAGGUGCUGCAUGGCUGUCGUCAGCUCGUGUCGUGAGAUGUUGGGUUAAGUCCCGCAACGAGCGCAACCCUUGCCUUUAGUUGCCAGCAGUUCGGCUGGGCACUCUAAAGGGACUGCCGGUGUUAAACCGGAGGAAGGUGGGGAUGACGUCAAGUCCUCAUGGCCUUUAUGACCAGGGCUACACACGUACUACAAUGGCCGAUACAAAGGGCAGCGACACUGCGAGGUGAAGCCAAUCCCGUAAAAUCGGUCUCAGUCCGGAUUGGAGUCUGCAACUCGACUCCAUGAAGUUGGAAUCGCUAGUAAUCGUGGAUCAGCAUGCCACGGUGAAUACGUUCCCGGGCCUU
rnacentral:rRNA from 1 species